CUACGGGGGGCAGCAGUGAGGAAUAUUGCACAAUGGGGGGAACCCUGAUGCAGCAACGCCGCGUGGAGGAUGACGCAUUUCGGUGUGUAAACUCCUUUUAUAUGUCAAGAAAAUGACGGUAGCAUAUGAAUAAGCACCGGCUAACUCCGUGCCAGCAGCCGCGGUAAUACGGAGGGUGCAAGCGUUACUCGGAAUCACUGGGCGUAAAGGACGCGUAGGCGGGUUGGAAAGUCAGGUGUGAAAUCCUACAGCUUAACUGUAGCACUGCACUUGAAACUUCUAAUCUAGAGUAUGGGAGGGGGGGAUGGAAUUAGUGGUGUAGGGGUAAAAUCCGUAGAUAUCACUAGGAAUACCUAAAGCGAAGGCGAUCUCCUGGAACGUUACUGACGCUAAGGCGUGAAAGCGUGGGGAGCAAACAGGAUUAGAUACCCGAGUAGUC
rnacentral:rRNA from 1 species